rnacentral:lncRNA from 1 species
GUGGGUUAGGAGCCCAGUUCUGCACGUGGGUGGCGCGUUGAGUGAAGUUUGGUUUCUAGAAUUUUGUGUUAAUUAAAAAAGUUGGUGGCAAUCUGAUAUCAAUAGGGAAUUUGUUAAUUAAAAUAUAGUUAUGCACAUAUGAUAGAAUAUUUUGCAGCCCCGCCCACGCACAUCAGAAAUAAAAAAAUUCUUUUUGGUUUCUUUGCAAUAAUAGUACCAAUACUCUCUCCUUGAACUGUGCUGUUAUUUAUGGCUGGCGGGCAAGCUGUUAAAUCAAAGCUUUGCGGGUGAGACAAGAGCAGUUUCUUUCCGCAGGUCGAAUUAGAUUUAGGAACAAGCUGUGGAUAAAAUGACAGAAGGGUAAUGAUGAGUGAGCUUUCUUUGGGCCAAGUGGGUCUGUGAUAGGAGCUGGUGUGGUGGUCACUUGCAAAAGAACUCUCCUUAAGAAGGUCUUCUCCCAGAGGCGAGGAGCCCUCUGCAGAGGGGGUUAGGGCUGUACAGUUAAGAUGCAGAAGUUGAGGGGGUGUUGUUAGGGGCUUGCUGGAGGAGAGGCAUUGAAUGAGGAACCUCUGAAAAUGCUCCACAGAAAGAAUCAGCCCUGCGAACUUGCCACACCUGGAAGGCGCCACUGUUCUCCGGGUUUCCCAGGCGGGAGUCAGAGGACAAUUCGCAGCUACUCCUGAACUGCAAGCUCUCUGAGGGAUCCUGCGCAGAUCCCCUUCCCUAAGCUUGAAGCUAGAGGCAGGCCUCAGACACCCACCCACUGCCUUCGGUGGAGGCUCAUCAGGGCUCUCUACGCUUAGCCUUUCACGUCUUCGUUAUAGGCAGGAUGAUGGAUUCAAGGAGUUUUAAGCCAUAUCCUCCUUUGCAAAUGCACCAGGAUGGUCUGGUUCGCUACUCAUUUUGAAAUAUUGAUUCAUGCCUCCCGAAGAGGAAGAGUUCUGGUUUGAUGCUGCAGCAUUGUGCAAAUCAACUUGCAGGAGCAAGCAAACCUUUCAUGGAAGAGAAGAGCUUGCUCAACUCUUGCAGAAACUGAGGCUACCGCUAGAUUCAGACUUGUCCAAAUCCUGGUUCCACCCACGGGCAGAGCUCAGUUCUAAGCAGUUCUUUCUCAGUGUGCUUCCUGUGGGUGCCAUUAUAUUGAGAGAGCUGAAUUCAAAGGAGUGCCAGCAGAGGGGAACUGUGUCCUUCCCUAUUGACUAUCUCAGGCAGAUCCUGUAACUUCUUUAGUCAUCUCAGAUAAUAAAAAGUCCUCAAGUCGUUUUCAGACCCAAGGGUAAUCUUUGAGUAAUUAAAAUUCUAGUUGAGUGUCAUCAUGAUGUAACAGCUUUCCCUUAUCCAUUUGAAAGCUCGUUUGCACCUUCGUUUCAAGCCUGAUUAAAAAAAUAUCAAACCACACAGAAGAGUUUAUUAAAAAAGCAAUAGUCACCUGCCCCACCCCUCUCCCCAUCCUCAGGCUCACCGCCCAAGAAGGAGCCGUUGAUAAACUCUUGUUCGUUUUUGUGUUUGAGUGGUAAAUUUUAGUUGUAGGCAAAUUUACUUCAACCUCAGCUUCUCAGUUAGUACUCAGGUUCUCCCACCUGGCAGUGUUAAUGUUUUGGAGAAAUGAGGGGAGACCCCUUACAGACAAGCUGCGGCACUUGAGCCCUCUCACCUGGACCUUGCCCCGCUGAUGGUUUUGAGACAGCAGGUAAACUGAAGGCCUGUAUGAAGCACCAGAACUCCAGGCUUGCUGCUGUGGUUUUUUUUAAGGCCAUUUGUUUAAAAGCUUUUUAAAAAUAGGAGUGAUGGUUUGUCAGAAGUCAUGCUUUGGUAACUUUUUGGACCCAAAAGCCUGCUCUUGUAAGCCUGGCUGCGGUAGUAUUUGCAUGCAUUGGGUGUGGCUUUGAUUGCACUGCACUCAUGUGUUUGUUAAGUCUGUCUCUUGGGAGCAAUGCUCCUCCUGUGCCUUACUGUGUACAAAGAAUUGACUCAGUACAGCUUGUGCUGCCUUAAGACCAAGACCCUGACAGCGGACCCUCCUUGCUCUUUUAGCCACGCCUUCUGAGGCAGCUCUUCUGCAAGUCUGAGUUCUUAAUGAAGAUGUGUGCUUCAAUGUGCCAAUUUCUUCAAGCACUUUUAACAAUGAAGGCACUUCCCAGCCUCCCUGUGCAGAGGAACACUGGACACACUUUAGCACUAUGCUUGGGGCCCUGUGAAAGCACCACAAAAAGCACAACAAUGUGGAAAACGUGGCACUAAAUAAACCAUGGAAAGGACAUUUGUUUACAGGAUGAGAUCUGAAACAAGAAGGCAGAACAUCGCCUUGUUCAACCUCAGCUGGGAACGCGAGCAUUGGGCAACUCAGAAUUCACCCUGCUUUUCAAAUGUCAGUGAAUGAAGCCAAGAGUUCCUGAGUAUUGAUUUUGGGAGAUACAAACAAGUUUUAGCAAAUAGACAAAUUUAGGGGCUGGCCCUGUGGCAGAGUGGUUAAGUUCACACGCUCUGCUUUGGCGGCCCAGGGUUUCGCUGGUUUGAAUUCCAAAAGGUGCUUCCCAGACCAGUGUUAAAUGGGUGCUGAGCUAUGAGGAUUCUGUGGGAAGUCAGUUUGGGAAAUGCUGAUGUCAAGAAAUCCUCUGUGUCUCUGGUAUUUGAAAAAAGCCAGUGCUUCCGAUUCUUAUAGUUAGGCUUUGAUGGGAACAGACUCACUUGUGCCAAAAUAGAGGCCAGAACCAGCAUCCCUUUUGCAGUUGUAUAUUUUGUGUUUUGUUAUCUUGCUUUUCCAAGCUCUCAUAGCCCAUUUUACUGCAUCUCAUUAGAUGGGGCACAAUUUCAUCUUUUU